AAAUUGAAGAGUUUGAUCAUGGCUCAGAUUGAACGCUGGCGGCAGGCCUAACACAUGCAAGUCGAACGGUAACAGGAAGCAGCUUGCUGCUUUGCUGACGAGUGGCGGACGGGUGAGUAAUGUCUGGGAAACUUCCUGAUGGAGGGGGAUAACUACUGGAAACGGUGGCUAAUACCGCAUAACGUCGCAAGACCAAAGAGGGGGACC
rnacentral:rRNA from 1 species